rnacentral:rRNA from 1 species
GAUGAACGCUGGCGGCGUGCCUAAUACGUGCAAGUCGAGCGAACAGAUAAGGAGCUUGCUCCUUUGACGUUAGCGGCGGACGGGUGAGUAACACGUGGAUAACCUACCUAUAAGACUGGGAUAACUUCGGGAAACCGGAGCUAAUACCGGAUAACAUAUUGAACCGCAUGGUUCAAUAGUGAAAGGCGGCUUUGCUGUCACUUAUAGAUGGAUCCGCGCCGUAUUAGCUAGUUGGUAAGGUAACGGCUUACCAAGGCAACGAUACGUAGCCGACCUGAGAGGGUGAUCGGCCACACUGGAACUGAGACACGGUCCAGACUCCUACGGGAGGCAGCAGUAGGGAAUCUUCCGCAAAGGGCGAAAGCCUGACGGAGCAACGCCGCGUGAGUGAUGAAGGUCUUCGGAUCGUAAAACUCUGUUAUCAGGGAAGAACAAAUGUGUAAGUAACUGUGCACAUCUUGACGGUACCUGAUCAGAAAGCCACGGCUAACUACGUG